rnacentral:rRNA from 1 species
AUUGAACGCUGGCGGCAUGCUUUACUCAUGCAAGUCGAACGGUAACAGGCCUUCGGGUGCUGACGAGUGGCGAACGGGUGAGUAAUGCAUCGGAACGUGCCCAGAGGUGGGGGAUAACGCAGCGAAAGCUGUGCUAAUACCGCAUGUGAUCUGAGGAUGAAAGCGGGGGACCAGGCAGCAAUGUUUGGCCUCGCGCCUUUGGAGCGGCCGAUGUCAGAUUAGGUAGUUGGUGGGGUAAAGGCCUACCAAGCCGACGAUCUGUAGCUGGUCUGAGAGGACGACCAGCCACACUGGGACUGAGACACGGCCCAGACUCCUACGGGAGGCAGCAGUGGGGAAUUUUGGACAAUGGGCGCAAGCCUGAUCCAGCAAUGCCGCGUGCGGGAAGAAGGCCUUCGGGUUGUAAACCGCUUUUGUACGGAACGAAAAGGCUCUGGCUAAUACCUGGGGCUGAUGACGGUACCGUAAGAAUAAGCACCGGCUAACUACGUG